AAUAGAUACCCUGGUAGUCCACGCCGUAAACGUUGGAUACUAGGUGUGGCGGUUAUACCAAUGACUGCCGUGCCGAAGCUAACGCAUUAAGUAUCCCGCCUGGGGAGUACGGCCGCAAGGCUAAAACUCAAAGGAAUUGACGGGUCCCCGCACAAGCGGCGGAGCAUGCGGCUUAAUUCGAUGCAACCCGAAGAACCUUACCUGGGUUUGACAUCACGGGAAAAGCUGUAGAAAUACAGUGUCCAUUAGGGCCCGUGACAGGUGGUGCAUGGCUGUCGUCAGCUCGUGUCGUGAGAUGUUGGGUUAAGUCCCGCAACAAGCGCAACCCUUGUCCUAUGUUGCCAGCGGUUCGGCCGGGGACUCAUAGGAGACUGCCGGGGAUAACUCGGAGGAAGGUGAGGACGACGUCAAGUCAUCAUGCCCCUUAUAUCCAGGGCUGCACGCAUGCUACAAUGGCCGGUACAACGGGCAGCGACCCCGCGAGGGUGAGCGAAUCCUAAAAAGCCGGUCCUAGUUCGGAUUGAAGUCUGCAACUCGACUU
rnacentral:rRNA from 1 species